rnacentral:rRNA from 1 species
GAUGAACGCUGGCGGCGUGCUUAACACAUGCAAGUCGAACGAAGCACUUCAUUUGAUUUCCUUCGGGACUGAUUAUUUUGUGACUGAGUGGCGGACGGGUGAGUAACGCGUGGGUAACAUGCCUUGUACAGGGGGAUAACAGUUGGAAACGGCUGCUCAUACCGCAUAAGCGCGCAGCAUCGCAUGCUGCAGUGUGAAAAGCUCCGGGGGUAUAGGAUGGACCCGCGUUGGAUUAGCUAGUUGGUGAGGUAACGGCCCACCAAGGCGACGAUCCAUAGCCGACCUGGGAGGGUGACCGGCCACAUUGGGACUGAGACACGGCCCAAACUCCUACGGAAGGCAGCAGUGGGGAAUAUAGCACAAUGGGCGAAAGCCUGAUGCAGCGACGCCGCGUGAGCGAAGAAGUAUUUCGGUAUGUAAAGCUCUAUCAGCAGGGAAGAUAGUGACGGUACCUGGCUAAGAAGCACCGGCUAAAUACGUG